AGCCUUUCAAGGAAUAUGGAGAAGUUAACAUGUGAGGAUGUCAGAACAAGAACACAGAGGGUGCCUUCGUCCCUAAUACUUUGGGGGCCACCAUAUUAUCCCUGGACUACUUAGCAUGGACCAUUAUAUAAUAGAGAAAUAAAUUUAUUUCCUGUAUAUGCCGUUGCUAUUUUUGCCUUCGAUAAUGCAGCUGAUCUGAAAACUAAUUAAUUUAGAGAUAAAAAGAGAAUGUAUGUUCUGACUAAUCAUGGUGAGUAGUCUCUGUUCUGUUCUUUAUAAUAAAGCAUGGAUUUCUCUGUUGUGAUUUCUUCCUAUUUAAGGUAAAAAGAUAAGGUCUUCCUUCUUUUUUUCUUUUUUUAAAUUUCAAUAUCUUUUGAGGUACCAGUGGUUUUUGGUUACAUGGAUGAGGUGUAUAGCGGUGAAUUCUGAGAUUUUAGUGUACCCAUUACCCAAGCAGUGUACACUGUACCCAAUAUGUAGUCUUUUAUCCCUCACCCGUCUCCCAACCUUCCCUCAGGGUCCCCAAAGUCCAUUAUAUCACUCUGUAUGUCUUUGUAUCCUCAUAGCUUAGCUGAAUCAAGAUAUAUUUUAAAGGUAAAAAUGUUAACACUUGAUAAUGGAUUGGAUAUGCGGCAUUUAGAGAUUGGAUAGGUUGGGAUUUUUUAAACGUUCUGAAUUGUAAUUUAUGUCAGAAAUUGUCCAAAGCACUUUCAUUAAACUUCCGAUUUCUC
rnacentral:lncRNA from 1 species